rnacentral:rRNA from 1 species
ACGCCAGUUCCGGUGGAGCCAACCUUGAAUACCACCCUGACAGUUUUGGGGUUCUAACCCAGGCCCGUGAUCCGGGUCGGGGACAGUGUAUGGUGGGUAGUUUGACUGGGGCGGUCUCCUCCCAAAGAGUAACGGAGGAGCACGAAGGUACCCUCAGCGUGGUCGGAAAUCACGCUCUUGAGUGCAAAGGCAUAAGGGUGCUUGACUGCGAGAUCGACGGAUCGAGCAGGUGCGAAAGCAGGUCUUAGUGAUCCGGUGGUUCUGCAUGGAAGGGCCAUCGCUCAACGGAUAAAAGGUACUCCGGGGAUAACAGGCUGAUACCGCCCAAGAGUUCAUAUCGACGGCGGUGUUUGGCACCUCGAUGUCGGCUCAUCACAUCCUGGGGGCUGAAGCCGGUCCCCAAGGGUAUGGCUGUUCGCCAUUUUAAAG